rnacentral:rRNA from 1 species
AUUGAACGCUGGCGGCGUGCCUAAUACAUGCAAGUCGAGCGGGACUCUUCGGAGUCCAGCGGCGGACGGGUGAGUAACACGUGGGCAACCUGCCUGUAAGACUGGGAUAACACCGGGAAACCGGUGCUAAUACCGGAUAAUCCUUUCCCUCACAUGAGGGGAAGCUGAAAGACGGUUUCGGCUGUCACUUACAGAUGGGCCCGCGGCGCAUUAGCUAGUUGGUGAGGUAACGGCUCACCAAGGCGACGAUGCGUAGCCGACCUGAGAGGGUGAUCGGCCACACUGGGACUGAGACACGGCCCAGACUCCUACGGGAGGCAGCAGUAGGGAAUCUUCCGCAAUGGACGAAAGUCUGACGGAGCAACGCCGCGUGAGCGAUGAAGGCCUUCGGGUCGUAAAGCUCUGUUGUCAGGGAAGAACAAGUAUCGGAGUAACUGCCGGUACCUUGACGGUACCUGAUCAGAAAGCCACGGCUAACUACGUGCCAGCCGCCGCAGUAAAAC